rnacentral:lncRNA from 1 species
AUAGGAACGAUUUUUUUUUUUUUUUUUUUUGGAUUUUCGAAUAAGGAUAACUAAAUUGCAGCAGCAGUAAGGUAGGAAACCAGAACCUGUUGCAAUUCACGGGGAGAUCAAAGGAUGAUCUGUGGUGGUGGAGAUGAUGACAGUGGAAUUUGGCGGCGAUCUUUUAAGCAAUUGUGGGAAUUGCUUUGGGCAGUUGUGGAGGGUUGAUGGAUGGCUGUGGAAGGGCAGCGAGAUGCCAAGAACGCUGCUAUGAUACCAGGUGUUAGAACCCUUGCAGAUUCUAAACUUGGGGUUGAUCUCUUUAGGGGAUCGGCCUCCUUGGAACUCUAUAGGGGUUCC